rnacentral:rRNA from 1 species
AUUGAACGCUGGCGGCAUGCCUUACACAUGCAAGUCGAACGGUAACAGGUCUUCGGUUGCUGACGAGUGGCGAACGGGUGAGUAAUACAUCGGAACGUGCCCAGACGUGGGGGAUAACGAGGCGAAAGCUUUGCUAAUACCGCAUACGAUCUAAGGAUGAAAGCAGGGGACCGCAAGGCCUUGCGCGUGUGGAGCGGCCGAUGGCAGAUUAGGUAGUUGGUGGGAUAAAAGCUUACCAAGCCGACGAUCUGUAGCUGGUCUGAGAGGACGACCAGCCACACUGGGACUGAGACACGGCCCAGACUCCUACGGGAGGCAGCAGUGGGGAAUUUUGGACAAUGGGCGAAAGCCUGAUCCAGCAAUGCCGCGUGCAGGAUGAAGGCCUUCGGGUUGUAAACUGCUUUUGUACGGAACGAAAAGGCUCUGGCUAAUACCUGGGGCACAUGACGGUACCGUAAGAAUAAGCACCGGCUAACUACGUG